rnacentral:rRNA from 1 species
UACAGAGGGUGCGAGCGUUAAUCGGAGUUACUGGGCGUAAAGGGCGCGUAGGCGGAUAUAUAAGUGAGAUGUGAAAUCCCUGGGCUUAACCUAGGAACUGCAUUUUAUACUGUAUGUCUGGAGUACUGUAGAGGGUAGUGGAAUUUCCGGUGUAGCGGUGAAAUGCGUAGAUAUCUGGAGGAACACCGGUGGCGAAGGCGGCAUCCUGGACCGGCAUUGACGCUGAGGCGCGAAAGCCAGGGGAGCAAACGGG